CAUAAGUAAGAAGCAAUCUCACCAUGUGUCGUAGCUCUCUCCACGAUGUGAAUCCAGCAACCAUUGUCGUAGCCGAUCAGGUCGAGCUGUUGCAUCCAGCCUACCAGCGCCACCUACAGUGAAUUGCUGCUAGAGAAGAUGUGAGAACAACACCUUUUAUCUUGCUCCGGUCAUCAUGGUGUGUGGGCGAUUCAUAGCUCUAGCCACAAAUUUUCUAACAACAAGAUCUCUGGCAAAUUAAGGAUUCGUGCUGGAUGUGACCUUUUGGAUUUGUGGAAGACAGUUGACACGAUCUACAUAUAAAGGUAGCAGGUAGACGAAUUAUGGAUGCUUGGAAAGUCCCGGUUGCCAGUCUCACGUCACACUCGAGGAUAGUCUUCUUUUGUUUUGUUACUGUUUGGGUGGUAUGUUGAUUUUGCGUAGAUUGUUUUUCAAUAAGUCGAUGUGGAUUUUAGAGUCUAGUCUGAUUGUUGCAGGUAUUUUAGUUAGUGACUCUGUUUGUCUUACAUUCGUAUUAUUUUAUGAUUUUUUGCUGCAUUUAUUUUCA